rnacentral:rRNA from 1 species
GAUGAACGCUGGCGGCGUGCCUAAUACAUGCAAGUCGAGCGAACGGACGAGAAGCUUGCUUCUCUGAUGUUAGCGGCGGACGGGUGAGUAACACGUGGAUAACCUACCUAUAAGACUGGGAUAACUUCGGGAAGCCGGAGCUAAUACCGGAUAAUAUUUUGAACCGCAUGGUUCAAAAGUGAAAGACGGUCUUGCUGUCACUUAUAGAUGGAUCCGCGCUGCAUUAGCUAGUUGGUAAGGUAACGGCUUACCAAGGCAACGAUGCAUAGCCGACCUGAGAGGGGGAUCGGCCACACUGGAACUGAGACACGGUCCAGACUCCUACGGGAGGCAGCAGUAGGGAAUCUUCCGCAAUGGGCGAAAGCCUGACGGAGCAACGCCGCGUGAGUGAUGAAGGUCUUCGGAUCGUAAAACGCUGUUAUUAGGGAAGAACAUAUGUGUAAGUAACUGUGCACAUCUUGACGGUACCUAAUCAGAAAGCCACGGCUAACUACGU